rnacentral:snoRNA from 1 species
ACCUUCUACCAGAUUUUCGUUGGAGCUGAAAAUAAUUCGUUAUCCAAUGAAAGACUUAAGCAAGGAAGAUUAAAUGCCUGAGGCAAUCAAAGAGAGUUUUGGUUUAGUAAUUUCCAUAACUAAUUGAGGCUUCAACGACAC